UGGGGAAUCUUGCACAAUGGGGGCGACCCUGAUGCAGCGACGCCGCGUGAGCGAUGAAGCCCUUCGGGGCGUAAAGCUCUUUCGACCGGAACGAUAAUGACGGUACCGGGAGAAGAAGCUGCGGCUAACUACGUGCCAGCAGCCGCGGUAAUACGUAGGCAGCAAGCGUUGUUCGGAGUUACUGGGCGUAAAGAGUGCAUAGGCGGUUUUCUAAGUUCGGUGUGAAAUCUCCCGGCUUAACUGGGAGGGUGCGCCGAAGACUGGGAAGCUGGAGUGUGGGAAAGGCAGGCGGAAUUCCUGGUGUAGCGGUGAAAUGCGUAGAUAUCAGGAGGAACACCGGCGGUGUAGACGGCUUGCUAGACCAUAACUGACGCUGAGGCACGAAAGCGUGGGUAGCAAACA
rnacentral:rRNA from 1 species